UAGUAUCAUAAGUUUCAUACAUAUAUGUAUUGCAACAAAAUGUAAAACAAAAAGACACUUUUAAGAAGAGCAAGGUGGCAUGAUAUAUACUAUUGAAUAUUAACAUACAUUAUCAUUACAAAUUACAAAAUGUUUAAGACAGUGUGGAAUAGUUCCAGGGAUAUAAAUUAAUGAAAAGUAAUAGAGAAAGACAUAUGCAUAUUAUCAUUUGAUGACCUAUUUAAUUGUGAUGCUGGGUCAAUUGUUUUCCUAUAGAACUUAAAAGAAAACCAAAUAAGUGCCUUAUCUCAUGCAAAAAUAUAAAUUCUACAUUGAUUAAUAAUCUGUGUAUUCAAAAUUUACGUGUGUAAAGCCACAUUACUUGAAAAGUUAAACUUAGUGUUUUGAGUUGGCUAGGGAACAAGAAUCAAUGCGAAUGAUAUGGGUAAGAGUUUAUUUUAAAGAUUAGAUCUUUCACGUUUUUUGAAAAGCUAAGAUGCUAAAGAGCUAAAAAGGAUCGAUUAGAAUAUAAGAGACACCAUUAACCAAGAACAACACGUGGUGCUAGUGAAGAAGUCCAUGGAAGGUGGUUGUCUUCAUAUCUGGUAGUGGACUUGGAGUCACUGUAUGGUGGCUGAUAGUCAAGAAGAAAAGAUGUAUGCAAAGUGAAGAGAGUAAGUUCAGAAAUCAUAAAGACAAAUUAAAAUCUUGUUCUCACUGCCUCUACCCUUGACAUGACAGCUGAUCAGGAGGAGAAGUUCAUACUCCUUGAGCUGGAUCUAUCUGCACAUGCACCUGGCCCAGGAAGCUGAAAUGGGAGAUCUGAUGAGCAGUGGAGGACUGAACCAAAGCCCUUGGCUUUUGCUCCAUACCAGUCAGGAGAUUCAUAGGUCUACAUAAGAACAUUCCCAGAUCAACCGUGAACUCAUAGUUAAAAGCCAGUUCUUUCUUCAGGGUAUUCAACCUAGUUGAGGAUGCAGGACACGUUUUUAAGCAAUUAACAACACUAAUAACAACAUGAAGAACGUUCAAACUGCCAGAUGAAAAGCAUAACCGGUAAUGACUGUAGUAGUAUAGAAGAAUGAAGAGUUAGAAAAAUCUUGGACAUUGAUGAAGCGUUGAUAGAGGAGAUAAGAUCCAAAUGACAAGUAAGAUGAAGAAAACUAGAGAAUGAAGAGGGCUUCUAUGUAAAAUCAACAGAUAGUGAAAAGGCAGAAAAGCAAAAUAAAUGCUGUUUAUUUUUGGCAAAGGUGAUAUCGAUGGGUUGAGUCAAUAUUUAUGUAUCCAAUAAUGUGAAAGUACUAAUUGUGUAGACAUAAGAGCAAUGAGAGAAAAUACUCAAUGUUCUCAGGACACUGCACUCAAAAUGAGGUCACAACUUUAGUUAAGUGAUGUCAAAAUUAAAUCUUAAAACUAUGAAAGAAAAGGAGAAGUAAAUAGAUGUUGGUAAGGUGAACAAGGAGGCAAAACUUUUCUGUCUAUGUGGAUUUAAAAUUUGUUUAAUGGAGACCAGGAUGCUACAGAGUUACUUUUAUAUCAAUUGUUAUGCUUAGAUUUUAUUUUAUGAAAAAUUAAGACAUAGGUAGAGAGAAAUAAACACCAUGGUGCUGACCUCAGAAGAGAAAGAAAUAGCUUUGAGUUAAGAUGCACUGAAUUCUUACAUGUUUAUUUGCAUUACACCAGAACAUCAUUCAGAAAAAGUUUGUAGUGACAUAAAAAUGCAUAUUACUAUGUUUGCUAGGAUUUUAAAAAACAACACCAAGGAAACAUAUAAAGAAACAGAAAAUUGAAAUGAAGAAAAAUAAGGUUAAAAUAUAUUUUGAUAGAGUUCAAAAUUUAAAUCAUAAAUUUCUACAGGUCAACAAAUCAUAAGAAGACAAUGUAGCUGUGGGUUCUCAAGAUGUCAAAGAAAUGUUAGUCAAAUAUUAGUCAAUUAAGACACAUUGUACCUAAAAUAUAAAAGUUUUAAACUAACCAUGACAAUUUUUGGAAUUAAAACUCAACAUAGUUCUUACAUGUCAUUUUGAACAAUAUGUUAUGACAUAUAGUGACUAUGAAACAAUAUUUUUUUGAAAUUGUUUAUAUCUCCUUUUUUAAUGGCAAACUAUAGUAAAAAGUCUAUGAGAGGUUAAAAUUAUGAAAGAACACAUUGAUGUAGAAUUUAAGGUACAAAUUUACAAAUCUAUCACUGUUAUAAAAUAUGAGUUGAUAUUUUUAUAUACAAGGUAUUUUAACUGUGCUUUAAUAAUUAUAAUAGCAAAUGUAUGCUUAAUGGUAUAAGUUAUUUUAAAAUAUAUAAUUGUAUUGCACUGUUAACAAAUACAUAUCUAAAUGACAAGGUGCAUAUCAAUGGAAUGUUUGAAUUAUUUAAAAUUUUCAUUUCCUUAUUGAUUUGUGUGUUCUUUGUUGAUAGUGGACAUACUAUGUUGCCAAUUAUUAGAUUAACAAUACUGAAAUCUGUGAAACGUAUUUCACAUGUACUUUAUUAUUAUAGGCACAAUAAAAUGGUGUCAAAACAAGAGUUAAGAGAGCAUCCAGCAGCUUAAGGGCAAGAACAUCCUACGAUCUCAUUAUAUUUUCUGCAUAAGGAUGCUUGCUUGGGGGACCACUGGAUAUACACAUGGCUUCUACUCUCCUUUUAUUAUAGUCAUAAAGAGCAACUGAAGCUCAUAAAAAGUAGCUGGCAGAUUUGUAAAAGAUAUAACAGUUUGUUCACAGAGUUUCUAUAGAGCCACCAUCUAAGGAAAAUUUCCCUUCCAAAGCAUUGCUAGGAGCUAUUUAUCUUAGAAUUGCCUACUUUGUCACAGUAAACUGAGUAUUCCUCCUGUCAUCUAGUUUGCAAAACAAGGACUAGUUCUCUUUGACUUUUUCCUCAAUAACAGUAAACAGUAUAUACAUGAAGUAUGAGAAUUCAAUACUUAUAGAGUUAUAACUGUCCUGAGGUGAAGGUCAAUGUGUGUGUUUGUUUGCAAGAUAGUUUAUGUUGUAAAUUUAUUAAUUAAUUUGCACCUAUUUUAUAGCCGUUCUGGACAUACACAUGGGCAGAAGAUGUAGCCGCCUUGUGUGAAAAUUUGAGAGCUCUCUACUCCAUCUUCCGCUAGUAUAACCCUCAUUGGCUGGAAUCAUAAUGGUAUCUGCAUCUGGAACUGGCCACUAGUAUAACACCUACAAAAUGCACAACGGCCUUCAGACCAUAUGAAAAGUCUACAGGGUGAGAAUCUGAAAAUCCAGCAAUGAGGAGAAAAAAGUUAUCUCCCAUUAAGAACACUUUCCAGAAGCUACACAAUUCCAGUUAUUGAUUCAUCCCAUUUACUAGAACCUGUUCAUCUGGCUAUGCCCAAAACCAAGGGAAACUGAAAUAGUGGUUACCAUAUUCUGUAACUCAGCCUAGCCUAGCUUCAGAAGUUUUAAUAAAGAAAAUAAAAUGUAUUGAAAUAUUUUUAUAAUAUCUAUUCAUUUCAAAAUACAUUUUUUGUUUCAGCUCAAUCUUCCAUUUUAAUAUUCUAUCACACUCCUUCAUAUAAGUUCAGAUGUAUUUUAACUUCUUUCUGAGGGACAUUGUUUCCUAUAAUCAAAGCAGUUCAACUAUCUGCUAAGUCAGUGCUUUCCUAUUAUAAGCUAUUUUGAUUACAAUCAACCUGUGCAGAACAAUAGGAUGCUUUAGCAAUGACUAAACACCAAUGAAUACUUCCUUAGCUUUACAUAAUGAGCAAAGGAAGUAUGGCCCCAUAGUCUCAUCUCAGUUUCCUUAAGUCACUAUCAAUUCAGGUGUAAAAUACAGAAAACACUUACAUUGAAAUUUUUGAUUCCUCCAAAUGGAAGAUAAAUUAUACAGCAUUGUUGAGUUGUAAUCUCCAAAACCAAAAUUUCUGUGUUUUCCACAUAAGCAACCCAAACUGAGAGUUGCAUAACAGCCCAAGAACUAAACAUUGACACCAGCCUCAAAAACAGACCAUUGAUUAUCACAACAAAAACUUCAAAAUGCACCGGGGCCUCGUGGGCACAGGAGGUCUUUCAGGGAGUGAGCAUCAUUGUGAUAGGAUGGAAAUGCUAAGAUGUUUCUCUAUUCUAUUAAUAUAUUCUGUAUUCUAGCAAUAUAGAAUAUAAUACGUAGAAUAUAGUAUAUAUAAUUAG
rnacentral:lncRNA from 1 species